AUACGGAGGGUGCAAGCGUUGUCCGGAUUUACUGGGUUUAAAGGGUGCGUAGGCGGCUUUUUAAGUCAGUGGUGAAAGCCCGCAGCUCAACUGCGGAACUGCCAUUGAUACUGAAAGGCUUGAGUAUGAUCGAGGUGGGCGGAAUUUAUGGUGUAGCGGUGAAAUGCAUAGAUACCAUAAAGAACACCAAUUGCGUAGGCAGCUCACUAGACCACUACUGACGCUGAGGCACGAAAGCGUGGGGAGCGAACAGGAUUAGAUACCCCAGUAGUCC
rnacentral:rRNA from 1 species